CUCUGGUGGUUACAACACUUAACAGAAAGAGGUCAACAAUGGUUCAACUGUCAGCUGCAAUGUUCUACUUCUUGAUUUCUCGUCUUUCUGUAACUCGAAUCCGAGAAGGUCAAGCAUCUGUCAAGCUUGUUUAAUGGAACAGUUUUGGUUAGCAUAUCAGCUGCAUUAUCAGAGGCGAUUCAAUCAAAGAUGAAGCUCUAGUGGUUACAAUAUUUAACAGAAAGAGGUCGACAACGAUUCAACUGUCAGCUGCAAUGUUCUAAUUCUUGAUUUCGAGUUUUUCUGUAACAAAUCUCUCUUUCCAUGUGUGUAAGUUGUAGAAACAAAACCCAAGCAAGCUGUAAUCUAUUACAUUGAUAGAUGCGAACUUGGAUUUGUGCUCUUAUUUUACAUCAUUGCACAAACUAGAGGAAGGAAGUUCGUGCACUCUCAUGUUUGCUUGAUAAAUCUAUAAAGGCAACCCACUCUAAAAUAUUCUUCAAUUACCAAGAUGUAUUAAUUAUUGAUAAAUGAG